rnacentral:lncRNA from 1 species
AAUUCUCAGCGUUCCGGGCGGGGAGCCGCCCGACGGCAUCGCGGCGGUCGCCAUCGUCGGGCCGAGCCGCUUCCGCGACAACGCCGAUUCCCGUUGGCGUCCCUCGCCGCCUCGCCACCCACCUGUGCGCAGCGGUGAUGGCGGCCGGGGAGCCGCCGGGCGCGGAGCGGCUCUCGCAGCUGGCGGAAAAUCUGCUGUAUCAGCUGCAGGAGAAUUUUCAGGCUCUGACGGAAAGGAUAACGCUGAGAAGAAAUGGGUGAGCGCAUCAGUGACCUUGAGAAGCAUGUUGCUGACCUGAUGGCAGAGGCUGGAAUAGAGAACACUGAUGAUGGAUUGAGACACUGAAAUAAGCAUGUGAGCGAGAAAGAUAAAGGGAGAACAGCUCUGCACUGACUCUGGAGUGUGUCAUCGUUUACAGUGUCACUAGUCACAAAAAGCAUCAGUGAAAACAAAGAUGGUUGCAUCACGUCGUGAUAGACUCUCCAUUUUUCUUUUCCUUUGAAUUAUUGUCCCAGGAAAGGAGCAGAAAGCUAGGUUUAUUCAUGUAAAUGGGACACUAUUUCCUGUAAUUGGGAAUAAACCAUUAUUCUCAGGGGAGAAAAAAAAAUGG